UACGUAGGGGGCAAGCGUUGUCCGGAUUCAUUGGGCGUAAAGAGCGUGUAGGCGGCCAGGUAGGUCGGUUGUGAAAACUGGAGGCUCAACCUUCAGAGGUCGACCGAAACCAUCUGGCUAGAGUCCGGGAGAGGAGAGUGGAAUUCCUGGUGUAGCGGUGAAAUGCGCAGAUAUCAGGAAGAACACCCGUGGCGAACGCGGCUCUCUGGAACGGUACUGACGCUGAGACGCGAAAGCGUGGGGAGCGAACAGG
rnacentral:rRNA from 1 species